UACGUAGGUGACCAGCGUUGUCCGGAAUUAUUGGGCGUAAAGCGCGCGCAGGCGGUCCUUUAAGUCUGAUGUGAAAGCCCACGGCUCAACCGUGGAAGGUCAUUGGAAACUGGAGGACUUGAGUACAGAAGAGGAAAGCGGAAUUCCACGUGUAGCGGUGAAAUGCGUAGAGAUGUGGAGGAACACCAGUGGCGAAGGCGGCUUUCUGGUCUGUAACUGACGCUGAGGCGCGAAAGCGUGGGGAGCAAACAGG
rnacentral:rRNA from 1 species